CCUACGGGGGGCAGCAGUGAGGAAUAUUGGUCAAUGGGCUUACGCCUGAACCAGCCAAGUCGCGUGAGGGAAGACUGCCCUAUGGGUUGUAAACCUCUUUUGUCAGGGAGCAACGCCGGCUACGUGUAGCCGGACUGAGAGUACCUGAAGAAAAAGCAUCGGCUAACUCCGUGCCAGCAGCCGCGGUAAUACGGAGGAUGCGAGCGUUAUCCGGAUUUAUGGGGUUUAAAGGGUGCGUAGGCGGAAUGCCAAGUCAGCGGUAAAAUCGCGGGGCUCAACCUCGCUCCGCCGUUGAAACUGGCGUUCUUGAGUGGGCGAGAAGUAUGCGGAAUGCGUGGUGUAGCGGUGAAAUGCAUAGAUAUCACGCAGAACUCCGAUUGCGAAGGCAGCAUACCGGCGCUCAACUGACGCUCAUGCACGAAAGCGUGGGUAUCGAACAGGAUUAGAUACCCCGGUAGUC
rnacentral:rRNA from 1 species